rnacentral:lncRNA from 1 species
CGGGCCGGGCCGGAGAGCAGGAGGCAGGAGCUGGCCCAGUGCCGCCUCCCGAGGAGCCGGGGAGGUCGCCCGCCCCUUCCGGACGCUGCGGCUUGGGCAUCGCCGGGCCGUCCUGCCACGCGCGGUCCCCCCGAAGGGAGUUGAGACGCUCCUGGACCUCGCCACCCGGCUGCCACCAAUGCGGGCCCGGGGCCUGAGCUCGGGGAGUGAGCUCGCGGCCGCAAGGCCAACGCUCACACUUUGGUGCCCGGAGCGCGAGCGACGGAGUGCCGGCCAGCCUGCGGACCUGGGGCCGGCCCGGCUCUCUCACCCGGGCUUUGGGAACCUGGAGGAGUCGCCAACUUCUUUGUACCUCCGUUCCCUCUUCUGUGAAAAGGGAACAUAACAGCACCCAUCUCACCGAGUGGUUGGGGACAGUAAAUGAGCUAACUGUGCACCAGCGCCAGGCAGAGAGUCGAUACCACACGAGCGUCCCCGGCUAGUUUUAUUGUUGUUGGCAACCCGUGUGACCACCUGCCUUGCUCCAUGCCCUGGGUUGGAGGCUUCGUGAGGUGGAGACCGUAUCACGCUCUGCUCUGGUCUCAGCACAUACAAAGGCUCUGCAGGCGAGUGUGUGCUUCACUGUGAGGCACAUGCUUCCUGAAGACGGUGGCAGAUGUGUUUAACAAAAACUUAGGAGAAACAGAAAUAACAUCCACAGCCUUGGGACGCCUGCUGGAAUGCAUCUCCGUCACCACCCUCCCACCUCCAAAACUCUUAUCAUUUGGGAGACUUGUCUGUCUCCCCCUCACCCCUCACCCAUCCUCGCCCCCCCUAGCCCCCCUCCCCGGCCCCAGGACCACCUUCCUUAAGAGAGAUGGAAUCCCCUGAGGAUUCCAGUCUGGCCCCACCUGGCAAGCUGCUCAGAUCGUGGGACCCUCUCCUGGAGGGCUAUCUAAUAGUUCACGUGAAACAAACUCACCUUGACCCGCACAGCAUCAUCCGAUGCUCUGAAAAAUAAAACAUCUCCCAUGGCCUGUGUGGCAAGACAUUUUGAAGGAUUGUUCAUUAUAAACAGUUACACUGGGCUUGAAAGCUUUAAAGAAGCCUUUUUGUUCUUCUUUCCUUGAAUCCUCAAAGCCAAAGUGUUGGAGAACUUUGAGCAUAGAGUUUACAUCAUAAACCAUUGAGUUCAGAAAGAUGUAUGGUAACGUAAAGGUUUUUUUCCCCACCCAAAGGAGCAGAGUUGAUCAGCAGACAGGAAGAAAAGCAGAGGGGAGGUGACUGGUAUUUAUUGGCCCUGGAAGGUCUCUGAGAGGUGGCCCAGCGCCCCCCACUCUCCACCACCACCAAACGAGAGAAAGCCUGGCCUCCUCCCAAGAGAGGAGAUUGAUGGGAAUCCUGGAAGAGAGGAGCACUGCUGGGCUCCCCAGGGUUUAGCCUAGGACACCAGCAGCAUCAUAGCAAAGCCCUGUGUCCAGCAUGGCCCAUCCAUGGGGCAGCCCUGACAGCAGGAUGCCUGGGCCUGAGGACAGGCUGCCUCACAAAGUCUCGUGCGUCUCAGAGUGUUCAGAGUCCCCAAACCCUCUAGAGGCUGCAGAGCGGCUGAGAAGGCCACCACCUAGAAAAGCCCUUGCAGCUGGGGACUGCCGGGCAAGCACGAACUCAGCUGAGGUCGGUAAGACCAGAGGAUGAUCUAUGGACCAGAACCCCUCCCCAGAUGCCAGGACAAGCCUUAAGCAGUCCAUGUCCUUCACCCCCAAAGAACUCCAGUUACCAUCCAGAGAAAAAAAGGGGUUUGAAGAGGGAAGAAUUCUGAACAGCUUGUGCUGUUACCCCAAAGAGACUGAGUCUUGAACCAGUGGAGACUAAACAACCCUGAAUUGGCAAGAUUUUUUCUGGCAUCAGAUGUAAAUGAGGAUUCAUGAGCAAAGUUGGCUUCAGUUAUGAAAAAGAAAGAAAAUUAAGUUUUUGCACACAGAGCCUCCGUGAUUCUUGCUACGCCAAUUUCUUAUUAUUGAUGGAACUGCCAGUAACCACUCAGAACCACAGCGUUCUCUGAGAUACCUUUAGAAACCACUGUCCCAGAUGGACUUCCUUCUACAGCCUAGUUUUGCUCCUUUCACACAUUUUCCAUCCACUGACCUCCAAAUAAAUGCUUUUUAAAUGUGCAUCUCUCAUUACCUCCCAUCACUGCAAGUUCUUGGUUUUACUUGACUCGACACUCGCCCCUUCUCUAAGCAAAUUUGCGUGGGCUUCUGUGAUCGUCUUUCUAUUCUGAUUUUGCAAGAUUUUUACCAAUCAGAAAGCCACAUGUGAACUACAGAUGAGAGCUGAUGAUAAAGUGUAAAAUAUCAUAAGACUGCCACAGCAAUAAACUAUUUCUUAACCUACUCUAUAACAAGAGGAAGGAAAGAUGGGUAUGGCAGACAGUCCUGCCAACCCCUUGUUCUAAUUGCAGAUUUAAUCUUGCUCAAUGAAGGCAAAUCACUGAAAGUGGCUUCUUGCGCUGGUUUUCCCUGUGCUAACACAGAAACACACUGCAAAUUCCAGAGGCCGAUAGACUUAGUAACUUCUAGGAAUUACUGCACUUAACAGAACCAGACUGGUGGUGCCUUUCUCUUAUGCCAGCUGUCCGAUUCGAUGAUUGCUUCAACACAUGAAACUUAACCCCAAGAACCAAACCAUCCAUCACUACCCACAAGGCAGCCAUUACCGGCUUCUCCACGUCAGCCAAGAAGGGCCUAUUGAAAUGUUUGUGCUUAGUCACAUGCACGACACAUAACAAGGGCCUCGGUGACUUAACCAAUUUCAACUAGCAGAAUGAGGUAGAAUUGACUUUCUGGGACUUCUGAGGCCAGAUCAUCAAAAACCUUUCAGCUUCUUCCUGGGCCUCUUGGAACAUUUACUCUUGGUACCCAAAGCUGCCAGAACAAACAACUUGGCAACAACUCAGCAGCAGGUGAAGUGCUGCCCAAUAGCAAUUCCUGUCAUCCAUGUCUGCCCUGACGGAGGGUGGGACCUAGGAAACUUCUCUGCCGUGAGCCCAAGAGUUGGGAGAAGAGGCCAUAGUCCCGCUGAUUCCUUCUUUGCCUCUUGCCUCCUCACAAGUAAAUCACUAAAUAAAGAGCCUUGAUGGUGGGUACUGAGCUGUUCCUUCUCUGGGAUAGUUAGACUGACUGAUGAGCUCAGCUUACGGUCUAAAAUGUAGCUGGUAUUGUCCUCAG